CUCACAGUUCUUGUUGACCCCCCUCUUUAAUUCAGAGACAGAACCAGAGGCUGCUGAAGCACAGGCCAUCCAUCUUCUAGAAUGAGUCACCAGCUGAAGGGGAAGCAACCUGGCGGAGAGACUGCCAAUAAUUAAAGAAGAUACUUGAGCGUACAAGGCCCACCGGAUGUCUGGACUGCUUGGGGGAUUAAGGAAACUUUUGGUUCUGGGGUACAUGUGCAGAUCAUGCAGGAUUGUUGCACAGAAAUGAAUUUGGACUUGGGUCUGCCUUGGAGGACUAUUGUGGAAG
rnacentral:lncRNA from 1 species